UCCAGUAAUUCUUCAAACUUCCUUUUGAUUGAUCCCACAGACUGUUUAUCAAAACCUCCACCAGAGAUAACCAUAGCGUGGGCAAGUGCGUCCCAUUUGCUCAGCGUGGGGGCAACAUAGGUAUCGUCCAAGUAGUCAGGGACGAAGAAGUCUUCAGCUCUGGAGAUGNNGUGCCCGGAUCGUUCUGGUGCAGCUUCUUCAGUGUUGCUGGUCUCAGCAGCUUCUGCCCGGGGAGCAUUGCUCCUCUUCACGUAUUGUUUCAUUUGCCCAUUUCUAAUCAAUAUCUCAAUGG
rnacentral:lncRNA from 1 species